rfam:Enterococcus avium ATCC 14025 genomic scaffold acpMO-supercont1.3, whole genome shotgun sequence.
AAUAGUUAUUUUAUGAAAAGGAUAAAUGGAAACCAGUGUAAAUCUGGUACGGUGCCGCCACUGUGAGAAGCAGCGCAUGCUUUGUAGUCAGAUCUUUUUAUUCUUUUCAUUAGCGGGCAUGCUGUUUCGUUGCAAAGCAGGAUGUUUUCU